AUCAGAAUAAAAGAAAUCAUUGUCUCUUUUCUGAUUGGUCAAUCAAACGACUCGAAAUAUCCGUGACGCAAUUAUUUAUGUUUAGGUUCCCGGGACUUGAUAAUUCUCUUUUUGCGACGAAUGUUUGUGAUAUUGUGUUAUAAAGCUGUCUAACGUCGACGAAAAGGAACAGAAACGAGCCAGCAUGCCGGAGCCUGUGAAUCACCAGGUGAAUGCCGCUCGUAAGACGUUCCGAACCUUAUACCAGAUCUCCAAGCUGCUGAACACGAAUCUCGAUGAAAACACUCUGAGCAUUUGCAUCAGACUGUGUGAAAACGGAGUGAAUCCGCAUGCCCUCGCCACUGUGGUGAAGGAACUUCAACGAGAGGUCAAAGCGAUGAACGACACGCAGUUGGAGUUUGCCAAUAAGACAAGUGUGACCAAGUGAACCCAAACAAGUAUGACACUGUUGUUGUCCUCCCACAUAUUUUAUAGAACUUAUCUUAUGUUAUCCAAUAAAUGUUUUUAAAUACA